UGGGGAAUAUUGCGCAAUGGGGGCAACCCUGACGCAGCAACGCCGCGUGCGGGACGACGUCCUUCGGGUUGUAAACCGCUUUCAGCAGGGAAGAUAGUGACGGUACCUGCACAAGAAGCCCCGUCUAACUACGUGCCAGCAGCCGCGGUAAUACGUAGGGGGCGAGCGUAAUCCGGAUUCAUUGGGCGUAAAGCGCGCGCAGGCGGCUCUUCAAGCGGAACCUCUAACCCCGGGGCUCAACCUCGGGCCGGGUUCCGAACUGGAGGGCUCGAGUGCGGUAGAGGCAGGGGGGAUUCCCGGUGGAGCGGUGGAAUGCGGAGGUAGCGGGAAGAACACCGAUGGCGAAGGAAGCCUGGUGGGCCGGCAAUGACGCUGAGGCGCGAAAGCUAGGGGAGCGAACAGG
rnacentral:rRNA from 1 species